ACCCUGCACGAAUUAGUGCUCACUGGCCAGCUAAUCCAUUAAAAUACCAGCACUGUUUAAGUUAAGUUUAAUCCAGUAGUAAACCAGUAUGUGGUGACUGAAUGUAGCUUGCUGGUCUGUGCUCUUUGUCACCAGGACUCAUUUUAUUGGUUGAAGGUUCUUAUGCAAAUCUGCACCAUUAUGAAACAUAAAACCCACCUGUUAGACCUUAAGAUCUCCAAUCACACAACUGAACCACAGAUCCACCAGAGUGUUUGAUUAUGGAGCUCAGAGUCGUUCAGUACUGCGUCCUUAUAUUUAUGAUAACACAAGCAGUGAGGACUGAUGAGAUGGACCAGCCUCCUACAGAGGUCAAGAAACCUGGAGAACGUCUGAAGAUCUCCUGUAAAAUUACUGGUUUUGAUAUGACAAGCUACUACAUACACUGGAUCCUGCAGAAACCAGGAAAAGCUCUGGAAUGGAUUGGCAGGAUGAAUGCCGGCAGCAAUGCUGCAGAAUAUGCAGAAUCAAUGAAAGCCCGGUUCAAGCUGAGUGAAGAUGUUCAAGCAAGUACUCAGUACCUAGAGAUCCAGAGUCUGAGAGCAGAAGAUACUGCAGUUUAUUACUGCGCCCGACAAUCACAGUGACUGGAACUGAAGAAGCAGCUGUACAAAAACAUCCCACUGUAUCAACACACUGAAACCUCCUCUACUGUCAUUCCUGCUUUUAUUCAAUGUUUAAUUCUGCUUCUACUUUAGACAAACGUAUGUUGUAGGUAAUUGUAUUGUUUAUUAAUAAAUGCGAAUAAAUUACUAGUUCAUCCUGAAGUAUAAAUGAGGAUAUUGUUCUGCACAUGACUCCAGUCCAUGGCUGUUAGAGUAAAUUUAGCAUUUUUGUAUUUUACAUACAUUAUACAUUUGUAUUAGUACAGAUAUCACACGCAAUACUACAAAUUCUCCAAGAUUUAUAUAAACUUUACUUUUAUUUUUAUGUAAAUAUUAUU